CAGUCGCCGCGGUAAAACAGAGGGUGCAAGCGUUAAUCGGAAUUACUGGGCGUAAAGCGCGCGUAGGUGGUUCGCCAAGUUGGAUGUGAAAUCCCCGGGCUCAACCUGGGAACUGCAUCCAAAACUGGCGAGCUAGAGUAUGGUAGAGGGUGGUGGAAUUUCCUGUGUAGCGGUGAAAUGCGUAGAUAUAGGAAGGAACAUCAGUGGCGAAGGCGACCACCUGGACUGAUACUGACACUGAGGUGCGAAAGCGUGGGGAGCAAACAGGAUUAGAGACCCCGGUAGUCCCUGUCUCUUAUAC
rnacentral:rRNA from 1 species